GGGACACGUGGUAUCCUGUCUGAAUAUGGGGGGACCAUCCUCCAAGGCUAAAUACUCCUGACUGACCGAUAGUGAACCAGUACCGUGAGGGAAAGGCGAAAAGAACCCCGGCGAGGGGAGUGAAAAAGAACCUGAAACCGUGUACGUACAAGCAGUGGGAGCACGCUUAGGCGUGUGACUGCGUACCUUUUGUAUAAUGGGUCAGCGACUUAUAUUCUGUAGCAAGGUUAACCGAAUAGGGGAGCCGAAGGGAAACCGAGUCUUAACUGGGCGUUAAGUUGCAGGGUAUAGACCCGAAACCCGGUGAUCUAGCCAUGGGCAGGUUGAAGGUUGGGUAACACUAACUGGAGGACCGAACCGACUAAUGUUGAAAAAUUAGCGGAUGACUUGUGGCUGGGGGUGAAAGGCCAAUCAAACCGGGAGAUAGCUGGUUCUCCCCGAAAGCUAUUUAGGUAGCGCCUCGUGAAUUCAUCUCCGGGGGUAGAGCACUGUUUCGGCAAGGGGGUCAUCCCGACUUACCAACCCGAUGCAAACUGCGAAUACCGGAGAAUGUUAUCACGGGAGACACACGGCGGGUGCUAACGUCCGUCGUGAAGAGGGAAACAACCCAGACCGCCAGCUAAGGUCCCAAAGUCAUGGUUAAGUGGGAAACGAUGUGGGAAGGCCCAGACAGCCAGGAUGUUGGCUUAGAAGCAGCCAUCAUUUAAAGAAAGCGUAAUAGCUCACUGGUCGAGUCGGCCUGCGCGGAAGAUGUAACGGGGCUAAACCAUGCACCGAAGCUGCGGCAGCGACGCUGAUGCGUUGUUGGGUAGGGGAGCGUUCUGUAAGCCUGCGAAGGUGUGCUGUGAGGCAUGCUGGAGGUAUCAGAAGUGCGAAUGCUGACAUAAGUAACGAUAAAGCGGGUGAAAAGCCCGCUCGCCGGAAGACCAAGGGUUCCUGUCCAACGUUAAUCGGGGCAGGGUGAGUCGACCCCUAAGGCGAGGCCGAAAGGCGUAGUCGAUGGGAAACAGGUUAAUAUUCCUGUACUUGGUGUUACUGCGAAGGGGGGACGGAGAAGGCUAUGUUGGCCGGGCGACGGUUGUCCCGGUUUAAGCGUGUAGGCUGGUUUUCCAGGCAAAUCCGGAAAAUCAAGGCUGAGGCGUGAUGACGAGGCACUACGGUGCUGAAGCAACAAAUGCCCUGCUUCCAGGAAAAGCCUCUAAGCAUCAGGUAACAUCAAAUCGUACCCCAAACCGACACAGGUGGUCAGGUAGAGAAUACCAAGGCGCUUGAGAGAACUCGGGUGAAGGAACUAGGCAAAAUGGUGCCGUAACUUCGGGAGAAGGCACGCUGAUAUGUAGGUGAAGUCCCUCGCGGAUGGAGCUGAAAUCAGUCGAAGAUACCAGCUGGCUGCAACUGUUUAUUAAAAACACAGCACUGUGCAAACACGAAAGUGGACGUAUACGG
rnacentral:rRNA from 1 species